CCUACGGGGGGCUGCAGUGAGGAAUAUUGGUCAAUGGGCGCGAGCCUGAACCAGCCAAGUAGCGUGAAGGAUGACUGCCCUACGGGUUGUACACUUCUUUUAUAAAGGAAUAAAGUGAGGCACGUGUGCCUUUUUGUAUGUACUUUAUGAAUAAGGAUCGGCUAACUCCGUGCCAGCAGCCGCGGUAAUACGGAGGAUCCGAGCGUUAUCCGGAUUUAUUGGGGUUAAAGGGAGCGUAGUUGGGUUGUUAAGUCAGUUGUGAAAGUUUGCGGCUCAACCGUAAAAUUGCAAUGGAUACUGGCAGUCUUGAGUACAGUUGAGGUAGGCGGAAUUCGUGGUGUAGCGGUGAAAUGCUUGGAUAUCACGAAGAACUCCGAUUGGGAAGGCAGCUUACUAAACUGCCACUGCCAUUGAUGCUCGAAAGUGUGGGUAUCAACAGGAUUAGAUACCCGAGUAGUC
rnacentral:rRNA from 1 species